rnacentral:tRNA from 1 species
GGAUUGUGGCUCAGUGGUAGAGCGCUUGCCUAGAACAUGGGAAGCCCUGGGUUCAAUCCUCAGCACCA